UACGUAGGUGGCAAGCGUUGUCCGGAAUCAUUGGGCGUAAAGCGCGUGUAGGCGGUUCGAUAAGUCUGCUGUGAAAGUCCAGGGCUCAACCCUGGGAUGCCGGUCGAUACUGCCGGACUAGAGUUCGGAAGAGGCGAGUGGAAUUCCCGGUGUAGCGGUGAAAUGCGCAGAUAUCGGGAGGAACACCUAUGGCGAAGGCAGCUCGCUGGGACGUUACUGACGCUGAGACGCGAAAGCGUGGGGAGCAAACAGG
rnacentral:rRNA from 1 species